rnacentral:rRNA from 1 species
ACUUUUAAUAAUAGAUCUCUUACUCUAGUAUUAAUAAAGAACGUAGUAAAUAUAAUAAGUAAUAUAAAUUAAAAUUUAGUAAAUUAUUAAAUCUUUAAACGUAUAUUACGCCUACUAGUAUUCUAGUAGGCAUGCCUAUUUAAGCGUUAUUUUAACCCUUAAUAUCCCCUAGGGGAUAUUAGCGUUAGGAACUAGUAGCAUACUGCUACCCCUAAAAUAAAGUAGUAGCCAUCCAUAGCGACCUCUAUUAGUACUCUAACUUAUACUAAGAACCUAAUAUAGCCACGCUAUAAAACACCCAACUCUAAACUUAACCUAAUUAGGUAGGAAUACCUACUAAACUUAAGCAUAUUAAUAAGUAGAGGAAAAGAAACUAAUAGGAUUACCCUAGUAAUAGCAAGUAAAGUAGCAAUAGCUUAAAUUUAAAAUCUAGCCCCUAGGUCUAAGUUAUAAUUUAUAGAGAAUGCUUUUAGUAAGGUACCUUCUAAGUUCCUAGAAUAGGACGCUAUAGAGGGUAAGAGCCCUGUCUAGUUAAAUACUAAGCCUCUAUAAAGCUCCUUUAACAAGUCGAGUAGUUUAGGAAUACUGCUUAAAAUAGAGGUAUAUAUCUUCUAAAGCUAAAUAUUAGCUAGAGACAAUAGCACAUAAGUAGAGUAAUUAAAAGAUAAAAAGCACUUUAAAAAGAGGGUUAAAAAGUAUAUAAAAUUAUUAAAAGGGAAGCGCUAUAACUAGACUUAGGCCUAGUAAAUACCUAGUUUCUUGCUAGUGCACUUCGCUAGGCAUAGGCUAGUAUUAGUUUAGCUAGGGAGAAAGGCUUUAGGAAUAUAGCUCCCCUAGGAGUAUUAUAGCCUAUUACGCAAUACCCUACGCUAGACUAAGGUACGCAUUUGUAAGGAUACUAGUAUAAUAGUUAUUAGUAACCUAUCUUAAAAUAUAGACUAAGGAGUUAUCUUUAUAUAUAAGUGUUUAGGUGUUAAAUCCCUAUGCAUAAUAAAAGUAAACAUAGGUAAGAGCUUUAGCGCAUUAUUAACUAAUCCUAAUAUUCUUAGAUAGAUUUAAGUAAGAGUAUAUAAGGCUAGACCUAAAAGAAGGUAAACUAUGCCUAUAUAGAGUAAAGCUAAGGAAACUUUAGUAAAGGCUUAUAGCAAUUCUAACAUACGAAUUAAUUAUUAAAUAUAGGUAUAGGGGUAAAAGACUAAUUAAACCUUCUAGUAGCUAGUUUCUACUAAAGUUUCCCUUAGGAUAGCAGUAUUAAACUUAGUUUUAUAAGGUAAAGUAAUAAUUAGGGACUUAGGGGCGCUAUAUUGCCUUUAUCUAUUCUUAAACUUUAAAUAUAUAAGAAGCCUUUAUUACUUAAUUAACAUAGGUAUUUAAAUAUAUUAACACUAGUAGGCUAUUUUUAGUAAGCAGAACUAGCAAUACAGGAUAACGAAUGCAAGGUUAAGGUCUAGAGUAAAACUUAUUAGACACUAUAAAAGGUAUUAGUAUAUCUUAAUAGUAGAUAUAGCUAUAAAAGUUAGAAUCUACUAAGGACUAUAUAAAACUUACCUGCUAAAUAUACUAGCCUUAAAAAUGAUAGUGCUUAAGCGUCCUACCUAUACCUGCCCUUAGGGUAGAAAUGAAGCCUAAGGAGUAGGCAGACAUAGAGGUUAGUAACAAAGCCUAGGGCGCAAGCCUAGGUUAAAUAGCCUCUAGUACAGAUCUUAGUAGUAGUAGUAAAUACUUUAAUAAGAACUUAAAGGACGAAGUAAAAAAGGUUCUAUAUAAAUAGUAGUUAGAUAUAGGUUAGUUAAUCCUAAGUUAUAAGGAAGUUCUGUUUUAAAGGCAACUCUAUGCUAUGUAGUAAAGGGAAGCUAGUUAACAUUCUAGUACCUAAAUAUAGGUUUUCAUAGCAACGCAACUAAACGUAGAGAUAAUAGUAGAGCCCUAAGUAGAGUUCUCUUUUCUUCUUAAUAGUCUAUUACCCUAAAAUGGUUUAUCUAGAGCUAGGGUUUAAUAGCUAGAAGAGCCUAGCACCUCUACUAGGUUUAGUACGCUUUAACAUCCCUUAAAAAUCCGCAAAAGGAAUAAUUCUUAUAUUAGGUUAUACUUAUAACUAUAGCAGUCUCUAAGGUAAAUAGCCUCUAGUUAAUAGAACAAUAUAGAUAAGGGAAGUUAGUAAAAUAGAUCAUAACUUUAAAUAAGGAUUAGCUCUAAGGGUUAGGCACGUUAGGCUUUAGAAGGAUGCCUUAAGAGUAGGCCACUACUAGCUAGGAACAGCUAGCAGCAGCAGCAUCUAGGCGCUAAUAUCCUUAGUAGGCUUUAGCUAUCAGCAUAUAGUUAAUAACAACUUAGAACUAGUAUAGAUAAAGGGAAUCUAACUAUCUAAUUAAAAAUAGUAUUAUAAUAGCUAGAAAGUAGUAUUAACAUAAUAUAAUUUCUACCUAGUCUCUAAAUAUUAAAGUAAAGUAAUUUAACUAAGCACAGGUAAAUAGUAGAGUAACUAUAACUUAAUAUAGUGCAGGGGAGAUAGGCGUAAGUGCCUAACCCCCUUAAGAGGUUAAGCAGCGUAAAAAGCAACUACUAGUAGGGCCGCUAUAGCCCCUAUAAUACAUUAAAUUAUAGGAAGUUCCUAAAGCUAACACUACAAGUAGGCUACUAAAAGGCGUCUAUAGCCAGGGUAAUAACCUAGGGUAGGUAAAAACUGUUAGAUGUAAUAAUAGAUAAUCCGCAGCUAAGCCUAUAUACUACGCAGCCCCCUAGCUGCACAGGAUAUGGUGCAGUUUAACAACUAAAUAGUAAUAGGUUCAUAAGGAGUGUUCCUAUACACCCUUGCUAGGCUUAAGAUAUAGUCUACUCCUACUUUAAAAGGAUAGGUAUAAUACUCUUAAGGUAGCUAAAUGCCUUAUUAUCUAAUUAGUAAUAUAUAUAAAUAGAUUAAUAAGAUUCCCACUAUCCCUAUUACUAUCUAGCAAAACUAUAGUUAAGGGAAUAGGCUUAGCAGAAUUAGUAAGGAAAGAAGACCCUAAACACACUAUAGUUCGUUCUAAUAAUAAGCAUUAAUAGGGUUAAUAGCAGUUAGCAUGCCACUAGUCUAGCAGCUAAUAUAGUUAUAGGUAGCUAUAGGCAAGACAACCUAGUAUAAGGGAGCCUAUAGGGAGGACUACGUCCUCCCUAUAGUAAUCCUAUAGUAAGCCUCCUUUAGGGGCUAUUAUAACGUAUAGAAAGGUAUUAGUUAGUAGUUAAGAGGCUACUAGCUUAAGGGAUAUACUAAACCUAGGUAAAAGCCUGCCUAUUAAUAGAGUGCCUAUAGUAUAAAGUCUUUAGGGGCUAUACUUAUAUAACGCCUAGAAGGAAAUGCCUAGGCAAAGGCUAGUAGGAGAUAGUUAAGCUUA